rnacentral:rRNA from 1 species
GACGUAGGGCGCGAGCGUUGUCCGGAUUUAUUGGGCGUAAAGAGCUCGUAGGCGGUUUGUCGCGUCUGCCGUGAAAAGUCCGGGGCUCAACUCCGGAUCUGCGGUGGGUACGGGCAGACUAGAGUGAUGUAGGGGAGACUGGAAUUCCUGGUGUAGCGGUGAAAUGCGCAGAUAUCAGGAGGAACACCGAUGGCGAAGGCAGGUCUCUGGGCAUUAACUGACGCUGAGGAGCGAAAGCAUGGGGAGCGAACAGG